rnacentral:rRNA from 1 species
UCGAGAGGCAUCCACAAUGGGGGAAACCCUGAUGGUGCGACGUCGCGUGGGCGAUGAAGGUCUUCGGAUCGUAAAGCCCUUUCAGCAGGGACGAUAGAACUGCAGAAUAAUACACUGCGGUUUCAGACGGUACCUGUAUAAGAAGCUCCGGCUAACUCCGUGCCAGCAGCCGCGGUAAGACGGGGGGAGCAAGCGUUGUUCGGAUUUACUGGGCGUAAAGGGCGUCUAGGCGGAUUGCCAAGUCAGAUGUGAAAUCCUGCGGCUCAACCGUAGAACUGCAUUUGAUACUGGUAGUCUUGAGUACGGAAGAGGAAAGCGGAAUUCCUGGUGUAGCGGUGAAAUGCGUAGAUAUCAGGAAGAACACCGGUGGCGAAGGCGGCUUUCUGGUCCUGUACUGACGCUGAAGCGCGAAAGUGUGGGGAGCAAACAG